GUGAGGAAUUUUCCGCAAUGGGCGAAAGCCUGACGCAGCCAUGCCGCGUGAAUGAUGAAGGUCUUAGGAUUGUAAAAUUCUUUCACCGGGGACGAUAAUGACGGUACCCGGAGAAGAAGCCCCGGCUAACUUCGUGCCAGCAGCCGCGGUAAUACGAAGGGGGCUAGCGUUGCUCGGAAUUACUGGGCGUAAAGGGCGCGUAGGCGGACAGUUUAGUCAGAGGUGAAAGCCCAGGGCUCAACCUUGGAAUUGCCUUUGAUACUGGCUGUCUUGAGUACGGGAGAGGUGAGUGGAACUCCGAGUGUAGAGGUGAAAUUCGUAGAUAUUCGGAAGAACACCAGUGGCGAAGGCGACUCACUGGCCCGUUACUGACGCUGAGGCGCGAAAGCGUGGGGAGCAAACAGGAUUAGAUACCCCGGUAGUCC
rnacentral:rRNA from 1 species